GAUGAACGCUGGCGGCGUGCCUAAUACAUGCAAGUCGAACGAAACUUCUUUAUCACCGAGUGCUUGCACUCACCGAUAAAGAGUUGAGUGGCGAACGGGGGAGUAACACGUGGGCAACCUGCCCAAAAGAGGGGGAUAACACUUGGAAACAGGUGCUAAUACCGCAUAACCAUAGUUACCGCAUGGUAACUAUGUAAAAGGUGGCUAUACUACCGCUUUUGGAUGGGCCCGCGGCGCAUUAGCUAGUUGGUAGGGUAAAGGCUUACCAAGGCAAUGAUGCGUAGCCGAAUUGAGAGGUUGAUCGGCCACAUUGGGACUGAGACACGGCCCAAACUCCUACGGGAGGCAGCAGUAGGGAAUCUUCCACAGUGGGCGAAAGCCUGAUGGAGCAACGCCGCGUGGGUGAAGAAGGUCUUCGGAUCGUAAAACCCUGUUGUUAGAGAAGAAAGUGCGUGAGAGUAACUGUUCACGUUUCGACGGUAUCUAACCAGAAAGCCACUGCUAACUACGUG
rnacentral:rRNA from 1 species